rnacentral:rRNA from 1 species
UACAGAGGGGGCAAGCGUUGUUCGGAAUUACUGGGCGUAAAGGGCGCGUAGGCGGCCGCCUAAGUCAGACGUGAAAUCCCUCGGCUCAACCGGGGAACUGCGUCUGGUACUGGGUGGCUUGAAUUCGGGAGAGGGAUGCGGAAUUCCAGGUGUAGCGGUGAAAUGCGUAGAUAUCUGGAGGAACACCGGUGGCGAAGGCGGCAUCCUGGACCGAGAUUGACGCUGAGGCGCGAAAGCCAGGGGAGCAAACGGG